UAAUCAAAAUCCUUUGUGCAUCCUGACGAUGCAUUCAUAAUAUAUGCACCCUACGUCGAACCAAGCGGAGGGGUCAACAAAACAAGGCCAAAGCAACGAAUUAAACCCUGAACAUCCUUCGAAAAACAUGAACGAAAACACCCACGAGUUGCUGAAAUAUAUACUGAAAUAUAGCGUGCAAGUUGCAUCGAUAGCGCACACAUGUCUACUCUCGAAUACCUAUAUUCCUAGAUUUCUGUAUAGUCAGAUCUCUAUCGAUGAUUGUUUCAUAGAGGAAAGUGCAUUUCGUGAAUCUGAUGUUGUGGAAUUUCUAUGUUUUCGAGUAUCUACGUUCUGGAAUCCUAUUUCUGGAAUUAUGUUAUAUACAGAUGCAAUUGUCUCAGUCGUUUCUAAUUUUAUCUUCGCAAAGGAAUGUCUACAAUUCAUUAAACACCGAAGAAACAACCCUUCCAUGCCAGAAUAUCUUUAAAUAAUUAAAAUUCCGAGAACACUUCCAGCAGCGUCCUAAGCGAGUAAAUUACAAAUGUCCUAAGGAAAACAAGUCGAUAAAGAAAAGGAUUGAAAUCGAUGAACAUAAAAGUAGCUAUGUACACAUUACGUGAUUCCUGCGGGACUCGCAACAGUGAAGAAUGAAUUCUAACGAAUCCUCCGGCAGAAAUAACGUAAUCAAAAAUUUCAUCGACAAGUAGGCUGAGAAUAUCUUAACUGAAACGCUGAGGGACACAUUUUUCAGAUGAAUCUACAGGAAACAAGGAACAUUGAAGCAGCCUGGGUCUCUGAUAAACUCCUACGCGAUAGAGGCGACUCGCACGCGUCGAAUCGACGUUGAGUUCAGACUGUGGUGACAAAAUUUCAUUCGGCGGUGAACAAAUAAUGUUUCAAAAAUUCAAGGACAACUUCUUACGUGAUCAUUCUUAAUGUGAACAAAUUUCUAACAGGUGAGAAGAUUUCACACGUUUGAUGCUAGUGUUUCAUUCAGUCACCGCAGCGACAAAAAGCUUCGACAUCACUGGAUGGCAAGUUAGGUCCAUGGAAAGCGUAUUAUUAUACCUGGGUGGGAUCUGUGUUGUUAGAAGACCUUCUAUGGGGUCCAUAGUAAUUCGAAGCCUAUCGUUCGCGGAACACAGGUGCAGGAAUUAGAAACGUAUCGAACGGGAUGUUUGAAGACGAUACCUUUCACUAUGCGUGUCUUAGAAGAUUAUCUGCACUUGAUAUUUUAAUUUAUAUCGUUUUACAUAUUCAUGAAAUUGUUAUUAAUACAUUGUAUGCCAG